rnacentral:rRNA from 1 species
GACGAACGCUGGCGGCGCGCCUAACACAUGCAAGUCGAACGAGCGAGAGAGAGCUUGCUUUCUCAAGCGAGUGGCGAACGGGUGAGUAACGCGUGAGGAACCUGCCUCAAAGAGGGGGACAACAGUUGGAAACGACUGCUAAUACCGCAUAAGCCCACGACCCGGCAUCGGGCAGAGGGAAAAGGAGCAAUCCGCUUUGAGAUGGCCUCGCGUCCGAUUAGCUAGUUGGUGAGGUAACGGCCCACCAAGGCGACGAUCGGUAGCCGGACUGAGAGGUUGAACGGCCACAUUGGGACUGAGACACGGCCCAGACUCCUACGGGAGGGAGCAGUGGGGAAUAUUGCAAAAUGGGGGAAACCCUGAUGCAGCGACGCCGCGUGGAGGAAGAAGGUCUUCGGAUUGUAAACUCCUGUUGUUGAGGAAGAUAAUGACGGUACUCAACAAGGAAGUGACGGCUAACUACGUG